AGACUUCGGCCUUUUUCAGGUAGUCUCAAGCUGUGGAGGGAAAGGCAGCGCAAGAGUGCAAUAAAACUGCCCGAUAGUCCAGAGCAAUAACUCAGUAUUUGGGCAAGGAAACCAAGGUGGCAGUCAGCAGUGUGUGUAAGGAGCAGCCCAUUGAGAAAGGCUGCACUGAAGAUCUAGUCACGAGUGUUCUGCAUUAAAAAAGCCCCUCUGCUGCUUCAGAAUAAGGU